UACAGAGGGUGCGAGCGUUAAUCGGAAUUACUGGGCGUAAAGCGCGCGUAGGCGGCUUUGCAAGUUGGGUGUGAAAUCCCCAGGCUUAACCUGGGAACUGCAUUCGAGACUGCAUUGCUAGAGUAUGGGAGAGGGAAGUGGAAUUUCCGGUGUAGCGGUGAAAUGCGCAGAUAUCAGGAGGAACACCGAUGGCGAAGGCAGGUCUCUGGGCCACUACUGACGCUGAGAAGCGAAAGCAUGGGGAGCGAACAGG
rnacentral:rRNA from 1 species